rnacentral:lncRNA from 1 species
CGGCUCUCCUGGUUGUGCUUCCUGCUCUCUCACCUCCUCCUCCAACCAAUCAGUACCUAAGGAGAGCUCUGAGCGUUCCUACCUCUGCCAAGGUAAGAACGUCUUCUUAGCUGCAGUCCAAUACAUUAAAAAACAGUGGGGGCUGGGUGCAGUGGCUCAUGCCUGUAAUCCCAGCACUCUGGGAGGCUGAGGUGGGCGGAUUACCUGAGGCCAGGAGUUCGAGAUCAGCCUGGCCAACACGGUGAAGCCCUGUCUCUACUAAAAAUACAAAAACUAGCUGGGCGUAGUGGCGGGCGCCUGUAAUCCCAGCUACCCAGGAGGCUGAGGAAGAAGAAUCUCUUGAACCUGGGAGGCGGAGGUUGCAGUGAGCCAAGAUCGCACCACUGCACUCUAGCCUGGGCCACAGAGCAAGACUCCAACUCCAAAAAAACCCCACAGUGGGAAGGAAAGGGAGAGUGAACCCGUUCUGGCUGUUUACGGAAUUAAAUGACACAGAAAUGUGUGCAGCUAGUAAUGGGCCUGUAACUGAGGGUGCCGUCCUUCAUGCUUCCCUUUCCAUUCCUUCCUCCUGGCAGUGACUUCUUCUGGUCCUGUGGGGGAGGAGGCCGAAAACUGGCAGCUGCUCUGCCUAGGACAGGAAGGGUCAAGUGCAGUCCAGGACAGCAAACAGCACGAGCUGCCCUCUCUACUACAGCUCUGCCAGUGACAAAGGCCACUCUGCACCCUCGCUUGCUCCUAAGCCUACUCCUAAGUGGGUGAGAAUGUGGAGGGAGAGGACACUG